rnacentral:lncRNA from 1 species
CCAUCACCUGUGCCACGCCCGUCACCUGUGCCACGCCCUACACCUGCGGGGAUUGUGGGAAGGGAUUCGGGGGAAGCUCCGCCCUCAUCCGGCACCAGCGGCUGCACCUGGGCUAGGAAAAACCGGAACCGGAAUUGAAACCGGGACCGGGACUGGGAAAGUUCUGGAACCGGAACUGGAACUGGGAUCAGAACCUGAACUGAGACCAGAACCGGAACCAGAAUUGAAACUGGGACUGGAAACUGGAACCGGAACCAGGACUGGAACCAGGAAACCACCGGAACUGGGACCUUUCUAGAGUCAGAACUGGGACCAGGAACCUUCCAGAACCCUCUGGAACCGGGACCAUUCCAGAACCUGGAACCUUCCAGAACUGGGACCCUUCCGGAGCCAGAACCGGGACCUUUCCAGAACCGGGACCCUUCUGGGUUGGACCCUUCUGAACUGGAGCCCUUUGGAACCGGGAACCUUCCGGAACCGGGACAGGAGGGGAAAGGACUCGAGGGGGCGUCCCCGUGGCCAUGGAGCUGUGGGGGAACCCCCGACCCUGGGAAUCCAUUCCUGACCCCCCAAAAUCCAUUCCGGACCUUUGGGAAUCCAUUCCGGACCCCCAAAUCCAUUCCUGACCCUCGGGAAUCCAUUCUGGACCUUUGGGAAUCCACUCCUGACCCACAGGAAUCCAUUCCUGACCCCAGAAUCCAUUCCGGACCUUUGGGAAUCCAUUCCGGACCUUUGGGAAUCCAUUCCUGA